rnacentral:rRNA from 1 species
GAUGAACGCUGGCGGCGUGCCUAAUACAUGCAAGUCGAGCGAACGGACGAGAAGCUUGCUUCUCUGAUGUUAGUGGCGGACGGGUGAGUAACACGUGGAUAACCUACCUAUAAGACUGGGAUAACUUCGGGAAACCGGAGCUAAUACCGGAUAAUAUUUUGAACCGCAUGGUUCAAAAGUGAAAGACGGUCUUGCUGUCACUUAUAGAUGGAUCCGCGCUGCAUUAGCUAGUUGGUAAGGUAACGGCUUACCAAGGCAACGAUGCAUAGCCGACCUGAGAGGGUGAUCGGCCACACUGGAACUGAGACACGGUCCAGACUCCUACGGGAGGCAGCAGUAGGGAAUCUUCCGCAAUGGGCGAAAGCCUGACGGAGCAACGCCGCGUGAGUGAUGAAGGUCUUCGGAUCGUAAAACUCUGUUAUUAGGGAAGAACAAAUGUGUAAGUAACUAUGCACGUCUUGACGGUACCUAAUCAGAAAGCCACGGCUAACUACGUG